rnacentral:lncRNA from 10 species
CCUGCACGGGUGGGGACGCUGGUCGCUGCCGGGGGCAAGUCUGCCGACUCCAGAAAGAAAGGCGAAAGAAUAGAUUGUGAAGCUAAGUGCUGUGAGGGAAACCAGAGGCAGCUGAGAUGUCGUGGAAGUAACAGCGAAUGAAGCCAGGAUGCUGGAUUCUGACCUUGGAACUGUUCUGAGAGGCUGUUUGAUGCAAGACUCCCACCUGCGG